CAAGCCAAAUUUUAGAAAUAUUGUUAUUUACAGUAAUAAUUAUGAGUGUGCAAUUCAUUCUGGUUUGA
rnacentral:tRNA from 1 species